rnacentral:rRNA from 1 species
GACGAACGCUGGCGGCGUGCUUAACACAUGCAAGUCGAACGGAAAGGCCCUGCUUUUGUGGGGUGCUCGAGUGGCGAACGGGUGAGUAACACGUGAGUAACCUGCCCUUGACUUUGGGAUAACUUCAGGAAACUGGGGCUAAUACCGGAUAGGAGCUCCUGCUGCAUGGUGGGGGUUGGAAAGUUUCGGCGGUUGGGGAUGGACUCGCGGCUUAUCAGCUUGUUGGUGGGGUAGUGGCUUACCAAGGCUUUGACGGGUAGCCGGCCUGAGAGGGUGACCGGCCACAUUGGGACUGAGAUACGGCCCAGACGCCUACGGGAGGCAGCAGUGGGGAAUAUUGCACAAUGGGCGGAAGCGUGAUGCAGCAACGCCGCGUGCGGGAUGACGGCCUUCGGGUUGUAAACCGCUUUCGCCUGUGACGAAGCGUGAGUGACGGUAAUGGGUAAAGAAGCACCGGCUAACUACGUG